GACGAACGCUGGCGGCGUGCUUAACACAUGCAAGUCGAGCGAUGAAGCUCCUUCGGGAGCGGAUUAGCGGCGGACGGGUGAGUAACACGUGGGUAACCUGCCUCAUAGAGGGGAAUAGCCUUUCGAAAGGAAGAUUAAUACCGCAUAAGAUUGUAGUUUCGCAUGAAACAGCAAUUAAAGGAGUAAUCCGCUAUGAGAUGGACCCGCGUCGCAUUAGCUAGUUGGUGAGGUAACGGCUCACCAAGGCGACGAUGCGUAGCCGACCUGAGAGGGUGAUCGGCCACAUUGGGACUGAGACACGGCCCAGACUCCUACGGGAGGCAGCAGUGGGGAAUAUUGC
rnacentral:rRNA from 1 species